rnacentral:rRNA from 1 species
AACGAACGCUGGCGGCAUGCCUAACACAUGCAAGUCGAACGAGACCUUCGGGUCUAGUGGCGCACGGGUGCGUAACGCGUGGGAACCUGCCCUUAGGUUCGGAAUAACUCCCCGAAAGGGGUGAUAAUACCGGAUAAUGUCUUCGGACCAAAGAUUUAUCGCCUUUGGAUGGGCCCGCGUUGGAUUAGCUAGUUGGUAGGGUAAAAGCCUACCAAGGCGACGAUCCAUAGCUGGUCUGAGAGGAUGAUCAGCCACACUGGGACUGAGACACGGCCCAGACUCCUACGGGAGGCAGCAGUGGGGAAUAUUGGAAAAUGGGCGAAAGCCUGAUCCAGCAAUGCCGCGUGAGUGAUGAAGGCCGUAGGGUUGUAAAGCUCUUUUACCCGGGAUGAUAAUGACAGUACCGGGAGAAUAAGCUCCGGCUAACUCCGUG